UACAGAAAAUAACAUGAAAUGAAAAUUAAGAAACUAAAAACAAAGAGAAAACAAAACAAAAAAUAAUAUGAGGCAAGUCUGUCCAUUAAAUUCAUUUCCGCUAUCUAUUUUACGUUUCAAUUUUUUUUUCUUCCUUCUACUGUUCUUUUCCUUUCUUUUCCUAUUCCUUAAUAUCCCUCUCAAUUCCCCAUCCCUUAGUUCAGGGAUAUACUUCUAUAGAAUUUUUUUUGUCCUGUUUGAUGCUUCAAGGCGACAUUAUGUAGCAGCACAUACUGCAGGUCCAUGCAACGAUCAUCCUCCUGAUCAUCCAAGAACAUGUGCCAUCAGAUUCUCAAAUCAAAAUAUUUUCAGAUUAUGAAGAUCAUGUCUCCCUAUAAAAAUGGUUUUAAAAAUUGUACUCCAAUGUAUUCAUAUAUAAGCCAAGAAUUACAGGAAUCUCACCCGCAUAUCAAUUAAGGAGCAAAAUUAAACCUCUAGCCACACAAUGAUGAUAUCAUAUUAUAGCGAGACAGAAUACAAACAAAACCAUAAGUUUCUUCCCGCGUACCCAUAUAUGUGUCAUAUGGUCCCAAAUAUAUCGCAUUGGUCUCAAGUAAGUUCAACCCUGUAAUAAAAGAAACUAGUGUCCUCAUGGAUGGAUUAGAAAAAAUCAUCGUCAUAUAUAAUUUUACCUUCGAAAUAUGGGAGGUAUAAAAUCCCUCCCGAUCUUAUAAACUCUUUCAACCUUUUUUGUUUUGCUCGAUCCAAGAUGAAAUAGUCACUUUUUGUAUUUUUAUUUGAGCAACUUUAUGGUUCUGAAUAACGUGGAGGGAAUAUAUGAAUGGUAGCAUAUCUCCAUUGUUGGUAUAUUUAUAAGUCUGGUGCCGGAGACUUUAGGGAUU
rnacentral:lncRNA from 1 species